rnacentral:rRNA from 1 species
GACGAACCGUGCGAACGUUGUUCGGAAUCACUGGGCUUAAAGGGCGCGUAGGCGGGCGGUCAAGUCAGGGGUGAAAUGCCACGGCUCAACCGUGGAAGUGCCUCUGAUACUGGCCACCUCGAGGGAGGUAGGGGCGUGCGGAACUUCCGGUGGAGCGGUGAAAUGCGUAGAUAUCGGAAGGAACACCGGUGGCGAAAGCGGCGCGCUGGACCUCUUCUGACGCUGAGGCGCGAAAGCCAGGGGAGCAAAAGGG